rnacentral:rRNA from 1 species
CAGCUCCAAUAGCGUAUAUUAAAGUUGUUGCAGUUAAAAAGCUCGUAGUUGGAUCUAGGGACGCGCAUUUCAAGCGCCCGUGCCAUCGGGUCAAACCGGUGGCUGCGUUGGCGUUGCGGGCUCGGUCCGUCGGUGCCCACAAAGCAUCGGCGUGUCAACCGGCCCGCCCGUCCCCUCCUUCUGGAUUCCCGUUCCUGCUAUUGAGUUAGUGGGGACGUCACAGGGGGUCCAUGCAAAUGGCGGCGGUGGGUCUCUGGGGCCCAGAUCGUUUACCGUGAAAAAAUUAGAGUGUUCAAAGCAGGCAGAUCCAAUUUUCUGCCACCGAAUACAUUAGCAUGGGAUAAUGGAAUAGGACCCUGUCCUCCUAUUUUCAGUUGGUUUUGGCAGCGCGAGGACUAGGGUAAUGAUUAAUAGGGAUAGUUGGGGGCAUUAAUAUUUAAUUGUCAGAGGUGAAAUUCUUGGAUUUAUGAAAGAUUAACUU